rnacentral:rRNA from 1 species
CCUACGGGGGGCAGCAGUGAGGAAUAUUGGUCAAUGGGCGCGAGCCUGAACCAGCCAAGUCGCGUGAGGGAUGAAGGCUCUAUGGAUCGUAAACCUCUUUUAUAAGGGAAUAAAGUGUGGGACGUGUCCUAUUUUGUAUGUACCUUAUGAAUAAGGAUCGGCUAACUCCGUGCCAGCAGCCGCGGUAAUACGGAGGAUCCGAGCGUUAUCCGGAUUUAUUGGGUUUAAAGGGUGCGUAGGCGGCCUUUUAAGUCAGUGGUGAAAGUCUGUGGCUCAACCAUAGAAUUGCCGUUGAAACUGGGAGGCUUGAGUAUAUUAGAGGCAGGCGGAAUGCGUGGUGUAGCGGUGAAAUGCUUAGAUAUCACGCAGAACCCCGAUUGCGAAGGCAGCCUACCGAGCCAUAACUGACACUGAGGCACGAAAGCGUGGGGAUCAAACAGGAUUAGAUACCCGGGUAGUC